AAACUCUCAAACCACAUCAUUCGUUUGACGUGGCUUUGGACGUGGGGGUUGCCGGCUUUCUUCAGCCUGCUCCUCUGAAAAGCAUUAGUGGUAUCUGGAGUGGAAAAACCGCUAGGUGUGAUAAUACUGUCUAUGCCUUUGGUUUAUGCCGCAUGUGCUGCUUCCAACUGCACAUUUUUGACAA
rnacentral:misc_RNA from 1 species